rnacentral:rRNA from 1 species
AACAGUGGAGCCUGCGGUUAAUCGGACUCAACGCCGAGAAACUCACCAGAUAAGACAGCUGAAUGAUAGUCGGGCUGAAGACUCUACUUGACUAGCUGAGAGGAGGUGCAUGGCCGUCGUCAGUUCGUACUGUGAAGCAUCCUGUUAAGUCAGGCAACGAGCGAGACCCACGCCAACAGUUGCCAGCUCGUCCUCCGGGAUGGUGGGGACACUGUUGGGACCGCCUCUGCUAAAGAGGAGGAAGGAAUGGGCAACGGUAGGUCAGCAUGCCCCGAAUUAUCUGGGCUACACGCGGGCUACAAUGGGUGGGACAAUGGGUAUCGACACCGAAAGGUGAAGGCAAUCUCCUAAACCCAUCCGUAGUUCGGAUUGUGGGCUGCAACUCGCCCACAUGAAGCUGGAAUCUGUAGUAAUCGUGUCUCAAAAUGGCACGGUGAAUAUGUCCCUGCUCCUU